CCUCACAGAAACACUGCUACAAACGUUCUCUUAUGCAGUAGUCCUUGGUACUUCUAAUAUUUUUAGCAGGAGUAAAUUUUCUAUACCAGAAUCUUCCACUGCCAGAAAGCACAAUGCCAGUAAGGCUCUCCUUGAUACUGACCAUCCGCUUAAUAGGCUCUCUUUCCUUUGGGUAGGACAUUAGCUUUUUAUUACAGAACUCAACUAAUGUAAGCAAAAAUGUGAUGUCUAGAAGCACAGUUUUAACCAGGAUGUUUAAAAAUUAACGUUUUGUGAGGUUUAAGGGUCUCUUUAAACUAGGUAAGUGGGUUUAUAUGACCUGACUUCCUUUUAGCCAUAUUUUGGUACCCUGCAUUUUAAAAAGGAGAAUUUCCUCAAACAAGCAAUGGCUAAUAGAGAGUUUUGCUUGAGGCGCUUGUUUGGAAUCUGGUUUUCUCCUCAGCAGCGUGACAAGUGUGCCAUUUUACAUUAAACGUUGCAAAGGUGACGCAGGGGAGGAGAGCUGUGCUUAAUGCUGAGUAGAAUUCAGUGUGUUCUUGUGGAUGUUUGCUGUGAUUGAUACAGACUUUUUGCAAAAUCGGCUAAAUUUAAUCCUGUUGCUAAUGGACAAUUAUCCCCACUUCAGCUGGCACUGACUGUUCCCCCGGAGCAUCAGCAGCAGGCCCAAGACUGCAUGGUGAAUGGAGACAAAUUUGUCAGAGCUUGUGGCUGUUCCGUGGUGGGCUUGUGACUUAUGACUGGUAUAGCCUUCCUGAUUGCACCUUUCACUUCUAGCAAAUUGCUACUUUAAAGGCAAAGCUUUAAAACCAGAGCUAGUCUAUUCUAGUUAUUGAUGCAGCUAAAAUUCUGUAUUUCUUCAGAUGGAGCCCCUGACAAGAUGCCAUAUUUAGAACUUGCUCAGCUCGUGAUCCUCUGGUCUGGUGAUCUGAUGGUUUGACUUGUUAGGGCUUUUGAGCCUUGCUUUUGAUUACAUUUCUGGGUCUGAUGUUAGACUAAAGGGAAACCCAGGAGUAUUUAUUUAAUAGUAAAUUUAAUAUUUAAUGUAACCGGCCCAGCAAUGUUAAAGGGGAUUUCUGAAGCCAACUCUGAAGGCUGCGGGCUAAAAAUUUUGCACUCUUUUUAUACUUGUAUUCAUAUCCUCUCACCACCUCAGACUCAGACACAAGGCCUUUUAAAUGGAGAUUUUAAAAAAUUACUGCCAUUUAUGUAAAAUAAUGUACUGUGACCAAGUUGUUUAAAUGAAAAAUAAAGUGCUUUCUUUAAGGAAA
rnacentral:lncRNA from 1 species